rnacentral:rRNA from 1 species
AGGACGAACGCUGGCGGCGUGCUUAACACAUGCAAGUCGAACGGAAAGGCCCCUUCGGGGGGUACUCGAGUGGCGAACGGGUGAGUAACACGUGGGCAACCUGCCCCUAGCUCUGGGAUAACUCCGGGAAACCGGUGCUAAUACCGGAUAUUAACCUUGACGGGCAUCCGACGAGGUUGAAAGUUUUUCGGCUAGGGAUGGGCCCGCGGCCUAUCAGCUUGUUGGUGGGGUAAAGGCCUACCAAGGCGACGACGGGUAGCC